CUCUGCUGAAAGUUUUAGUACCACUUUUGUCAAUAAAAAAUAAGUAUAAAGUUUUUGAAAAUAUAAAAAUUGUAUACCUAUAUUAUAUACAUAUUGUGCGGCACGGCGGCCCGCGGGUUUACCUGCAACCUGACCUUUUUGUUCAUCAAAUUGUAUUGUGUUUGAUACCGGCGUGUAGAUAUGAAUUGUUCCAAGAAGUUUAUCGGACGUACACCAUGUAUACCAAAUAUUCGUAUUAAUCUACAUCUAUAUUAAUAUAUAUCCAUUUACAUAUAUAUAUAUAUAAGAAUUUCUCAAUUUUCUUUCUCCUUCGGGAUUUCCUCCUCAUAAGCUAAAAUUAAAAAUUGGUGCUCCAAUUACAUUAUUACGUAAUCUUCAACCACCGAAGUUAUGUAACGGUAUAAGAUUACAAAUAAAUUCGUUGUGAAAUAAUAUUAUAAAAGCAGUCAUUUUUACAGGUCAGCAAAAAGAGAAAUUGCAUUUAUUCCAAGAAUUCUCAUGAUUCCAUCUGACUUGCCAUUUUCUUUCAAACGGCUUCAAUUUCUUGUUAAAGUUUCUUUUGCAAUUACGAUAAACAAAGCUCAAGGUCAAACAUUCAGGUACUUUGGCGUAGAUCUUCGAACAGAGUGUUUUUCACAUGGACAAUUAUACGUGGGAUUUUCCCGAAUUGCGGACCUGAAUCAUUUUAUGAUUUUAAUUUCAACAGGAGAUAAAACAAAAAACGUCAUAUACUCAAAAGUUGUAUACAAUUCUUUAUCAACCAUAAAUUACUCAUCAUUUCUUUUGUAUCUGUAUUCAUUUUCUAAUUAAUAUAUAUUUGUCAUUAAUCCCGCUAGAAACGUUAUACAUCAAUACGUUUUCAUUAACCGUUUUUUAUAUUAACUUGCCGAUAUUAUUAAACGAUAGAAUUUGAAUAAAAAAUUCUAUAUAUCAUCGUCGGAAGGCAAAUUAAACAACCAAUCACGGGUGAAGCUGUGACGGGUCGGCUAGUUAUCAAUAAAAUCGUAACAUGGAAUUCCAAAUUUGGGAUUUGUACAAAUUAGAUAAUAGGUAUAAUACUUUUAUUUUUAAACACAAAAAAUAUGUAUAAGUAAUAAUCGUAUACAAAAUAAUUAAUAUAUAUACCUAUAUUUUAAGUAUUCCUAACUAGUAAAUUAGUAACUAAUUUGGAUAUUUUUAGUGUAGCAAAAAUGUAUUGGUUUUACUAAGAUAUUUAUUUUUUUUUUUUUUUUUUUAUCCUUUGUACAAAAAUUCGACCAUAAAUCUUGCUCAGAUAUAUACCUGCAACACCAUUUCUAUAAAGGGAAUGUUCUGUACAUGGUACUUUUGGGAGAUAAUUUUUUGAUUUUAUAAGUAGUUUUCAUAAUAUCUGAGAAAAACCAGGAAAAAACGUAAGAAAAAUGGGGAAUGUACGAAAUUAAUGUUCUUAUUAUUUUAUUAAUUUUGCUAUUUGUUAUAAUUCAGUUAAACAUAUUUGUAGAGACUUAAAAUUUAAACAAAAAAUUUAUAUUUAACUUUUCUAGACAUGAUAACAUUUUCAAAAAAUUUAAAUCAUUUUUGAGCUAUUUAUAAACAUUUUAAUUUUGUAAGUUUUGUACAUAAUUUUUAUUCAGUAGGUAUUUUGUGAUAAAAUUGUUAGACUUAACAGAAAUAAUUGAAAAUUUAAUAUGAGGUUCAUCAAAUCUUACUUUGUAGUAAAAAAGAUAUUGAGUUUAAUGUAUUAUUAAUGUAGUAUUAGUUUUUGUAAAAGAAUUUUAAUACUAUAUUUUGACAAAAAAUUAUGUUCAGACCAAUUUUAAAAAUAAUAUCUUACAUCAAUAUGUUUUAGAUAAUAAAUAAUAACUCAUUUUAAAUAAUCUCUCCUAUUAAAAUAAAUUAUUUCUAUAUUUUAUUUAAAAUGAACAAUUUGUAUAAUUUUUUUUCUAUGUAUUCCUUCAUUUAAUUUUUUAUAUUCUGUAGUAUUACAUUUUGACUGUGAUAUACCUGAUGAUGAAUUUUUAAUUUGAAACCAGUUGUAUAAUUCACUUAUCAUAAUACUGCAUUUAUUUAUUUAUUUAUUUAUUUAUUUAUUUUAUUUUUUAUUUUUAUUUAUAAUUUUUUUAUUUAUAUAUUUAUUUACUACAAUUGUUUAUCAUUUUAGUUUUAAGAACUGUUUUAAUGUUUGAUAUAGACUUUUCCAUUCCUUUUUUUUGUGGUUGUUUAUUUUUUUGUACAAAAUUAAUGGGUCAUAAUCAAAUGUUGAGACCUCAUACCCAUUUAAUGUGUGUAUAAUGGCAUCCAGUUUUAAAACUACUGCUGUAGAACAAGAGUUCCCAAUCUUUUUUUUCUUUUGUACCCCUAAGUUUAAUAUUUUGCCAGAUUAUAUAAAUCAUUAUAAAUUAUAAUUAUAUAUUUUAAAAUUUUU